rnacentral:rRNA from 1 species
UACGUAGGGGGCGAGCGUUGUCCGAAGUUACUGGGCGUAAAGCGCGCGUAGGCGGGGGAUUAAGUGAGAAGUGAAAGGCUGGGGCUCAACCCCAUGCAGUGCUCCUCAUACUGGUCCUCUUGAGGGCGGUAGAGAGAAGUGGAAUGGCUGGUGUAGCGGUGAAAUGCGUAGAUAUCAGUCGGAACACCGGUGGCGAAGGCGGCUUCUUGGGCCGUUUCUGACGCUGAGGCGCGAAAGCCAGGGGAGCAAACGGG